rnacentral:rRNA from 1 species
CAGCCGCCGCGGUAAUACGUAGGUGGCAAGCGUUGUCCGGAAUUAUUGGGCGUAAAGCGCGCGCAGGCGGUCCUUUAAGUCUGAUGUGAAAUCCCACGGCUCAACCGUGGAAGGUCAUUGGAAACUGGGGGACUUGAGUACAGAAGAGGAAAGCGGAAUUCCAAGUGUAGCGGUGAAAUGCGUAGAGAUUUGGAGGAACACCAGUGGCGAAGGCGGCUUUCUGGUCUGUAACUGACGCUGAGGCGCGAAAGCGUGGGGAGCAAACAGG